AUGAAAGAUUAAAGCAGUGAAGCUUCAGAUCUCCACUCAAACUAUUAAAAGCCGCCGGUCUCCACUCUCGACUUAGACUGUUCAAGCCUUCAAGAGUUUCCGGUCUCCGGUGACUGUGACUCAAAGUUCAUAAACCCUAGGCCGUAAGGGACUGAGCUCUCACUCAAAUACUCAAGAACUAGGCCGAAAGAAAGGUAACCUCCUCUCUGGCAGUCUGGCAGUUUUGAUUGCUUACUUUUUUUUUUUUUCUAUAUCAGCAAAUUUGUUUGUGCCCAGAAAUUUGUUUAAUGUUUCUUUGAAAAUUUUUAAUAUUCCUUUAGGGCAUUAAAAUUAUCAUUAUAGUUUGCCCAGAAAAUUUGUUUGUGUAUGUUAGUAUGUUAUUUUAUAUUUUAUUUUAUGUGCUUUUUAGUGCCCAGAAACUAUAGUGUUAUACACUGUUCAGAAAAUUUGUUUAUAUUUGUUUGUGGCUUUGUACUUGCUUUAUGAAGAAAGAGGUAAGUAAAAUUAAUUGUGAAUUGUAUGUGUAUAUAGUAUAUAUGUGUCAAAAUGUGAUUAUAUGUGAAUAUAGUGAUAAAGUCUUGAAUUUAGUUUAUUUUGUGAA